rnacentral:rRNA from 1 species
GACGAACGCUGGCGGCGUGCCUCAAACAUGCAAGUCGAGCGUGGAUACGUUGCUUCGCAAGAGGUGACGUGUUCUAGCGGCGGACGGGUGCGUAACACGUGGGGAACCAACCCUCCAGACGGGGACAACCUCGGGAAACCGGGGCUAAUACCGGAUACGUUCGCCGGGUCGCAUGGCCUGGCGAGGAAAGGAUCGCAAGAUCGCUGGAGGACGGUCCCGCGGCCUAUCAGCUAGUUGGUGAGGUAACGGCCCACCAAGGCGAUGACGGGUAGCUGGCCUGAGAGGGUGGUCAGCCACACUGGAACUGAGACACGGUCCAGACUCCUACGGGAGGCAGCAGUUGGGAAUCUUGGGCAAUGGGCGCAAGCCUGACCCAGCGACGCCGCGUGGGGGAUGAAGGCCUUCGGGUUGUAAACCCCUGUCAGGAGGGACGAAGCCGCAAGGUGACGGUACCUCCAGAGGAAGCCCCGGCUAACUACGUGC